CCUACGGGGGGCAGCAGUGGGGAAUAUUGCGCAAUGGGCGAAAGCCUGACGCAGCGACGCCGCGUGAGGGAUGAAGGUCUUCGGAUCGUAAACCUCUGUCAGCAGGGAAGAACGGUCACUGUGCUAAUCAGCAGUGAAUUGACGGUACCUGCAAAGGAAGCACCGGCUAACUCCGUGCCAGCAGCCGCGUUAAUACGGAGGGUGCGAGCGUUAAUCGGAAUUACUGGGCGUAAAGCGCUCGUAGGCGGUAUGUCAAGUCAAGGGUGAAAUCCCCGCGCGCAACGUGGGAACUGCCUUUGAAACUGGCAAACUGGAGUGUGUGAGAGGAUAGUGGAAUUCCAGGUGUAGGAGUGAAAUCCGUAGAUAUAUGGAGGAACAUCAGUGGCGAAGGCGACUAUCUGGAACAUAACUGACGCUGAGGAGCGAAAGCGUGGGUAGCAAACAGGAUUAGAUACCCUUGUAGUC
rnacentral:rRNA from 1 species